rnacentral:rRNA from 1 species
UACGUAGGGGGCAAGCGUUGUCCGGAUUUAUUGGGCGUAAAGAGCGUGUAGGCGGCCAUACAGGUCAGUUGUGGAAAACUGGAGGCUUAACCUCCAGACGUCGAUGGAAACCGUAUGGCUAGAGUCCGGAAGAGGAGAGUGGAAUUCCGUGGUGUAGCGGUGAAAUGCGCAGGAUAUCAGGAAGAACACCCGUGGCGAAGGCGGCCUGCUGGGACGUGGCUGACGCUGAGGCGCGACAGCGUGGGGAGCAAACAGG